CCCUGAGGGAGGCGCUGCAGAGCCGAGCGGAGCCUUUCCCCGAGGAGCGGGCAGAGCGAGGGGUGCGGCGGCCCUGCUCCCCCUGGGGCAGGUCUGACAGGGGCUGGAAGUGAGAGAAGGUGGCGUCCCUCUCUGGCCCGCAAAGCUUUGAAACACCAGCUGCACAUCCUGCUUCUUGAAAGAGAUCCCAGAAGCCACUGGCAGGAAGAUUAAAAGAAGAGGCAGGGGACGAGCCUUAAACUCCUAAAACAGUUUGGAGCACACACCUAUUCACUGCAUAGAGAUAAUGUGGCUGCUGUGUGUGCUGUCAAAGACUGAGAAUGUAAGAAAAAACAUCAUUCUGUGCUUCACGGUGAAGAACUGCCAUCUCCUGCCACGUGAACUAGCGUGAGAGAACCAAGAGUUCUACCACAAGUUACAUGAGCUGCACAAAUCACUUCUGACAACCAAGGUAAAUAAAUGCCCUGAAGUUCUGUCACUCAUCAUCUGGACUAUGAACUCCAGGACAGACAGUUUUGUCUCUACUUGCUGCAUCAAGCUAUCAGUGCUUCAGUCGAACAGAAUACAAAAUGCAAAUAAAACAUUAUUUCCUACAGGUUAGAAAAAUUAUUUCGGAAGCUUAGCAUUGUUUAGGAAAUACAUCUUGAGUCACACAUCUGCAAUGACAUGCAGCUAUACUAAUGAGGAAAAUAGGAACAUGAUUUAAUUUCAUUGAAAUACAAGUAAAAGGACUACAGAGGCAGAGGUUCUUUCAUAAAAACAUGUACCAUCUACAUUAGAGGUAGUUUUGAAGCAUCCUGAAGCAUGCUAUCAUUAGUUGAGUUACUUCAUCCCAUUCUGGGAGAUCAACACACCUUUGGAAAUAAUGGAAUGCUUGUAUUCUGCGUUCAAGGAUGCAAGGGAAAGUAAUUUUCAUCUCAUGAUAGCUCAACAUAUUUAAGAUAAAUGCAUAACAGAAGAAAACAGUGCUAAACUAUUAAAGUAGUACAUGCAUCAUAUGACUGACCAAAUUUCUGGCUCCAGUUAAUUAACCACAUAGUAAGGCCUCAUAUGCUUAGCAUGUGACUAAAAUUUUUUAAGCAUUCAUCUUAGAAAGCCUUCAAACAGAGUUUAAGCAGCUUUACUCCAACAUUAUUUCUU